rnacentral:rRNA from 1 species
GAAACUUAAAGGAAGUUGACGGGGCCCGCACAAGCGGUGGAGUAUGUGGUUAAUUCGAUGCAACGCGAAGAACCUUACCUGGUCUUGACAUCCCGGAGACCCUUAGGAAACUAGGGGGUGCUUCCAUCUGGAAGAAUCUGGAGACAGGUGCUGCAUGGCUGUCGUCAGCUCGUGUCGUGAGAUGUUGGGUUAAGUCCCGCAACGAGCGCAACCCUUGCCUUUAGUUGCCAGCAGUUCGGCUGGGCACUCUAAAGGGACUGCCGGUGUUAAACCGGAGGAAGGUGGGGAUGACGUCAAGUCCUCAUGGCCUUUAUGACCAGGGCUACACACGUACUACAAUGGCCGAUACAAAGGGCAGCGACACUGCGAGGUGAAGCCAAUCCCGUAAAAUCGGUCUCAGUCCGGAUUGGAGUCUGCAACUCGACUCCAUGAAGUUGGAAUCGCUAGUAAUCGUGGAUCAGCAUGCCACGGUGAAUACGUUCCCGGGCCUU